ACAGCGAAACAUUUAUACAAAACACCUAUCCCGAGCACACGCAAGGGAACCGUAGACAGGCAAGUGAAAUCCAAUCCACGAAAUAAUUUGAUCCAUGGACGGCACCGUUGUGGUAAAGGUCGUAAUUCCAGAGGAAUCAUUACCGCAAGGCAUAGAGGGGGAGGUCAUAAGCGCCUAUACCGUAAAAUAGAUUUUCGACGGAAUCAAAAAGACAUAUCUAGUAGAAUCGUAACCAUAGAAUACGACCCUAAUCGAAAUGCCUACAUUUGUCUCAUACACUAUGGGGAUGGUGAGAAGAGAUAUAUUUUACAUCCCAGAGGGGCUAUAAUUGGAGAUACUAUUGUUUCUGGUACAAAAGUUCCUAUAUCAAUGGGAAAUGCCCUACCUUUGACUGAUAUUCCCUUAGGCACGGCCAUGCAUAACAUAGAAAUCACGCGUGGAAGGGGUGGGCAAUUAGCUAGAGCAGCAGGUGUUGUAGCAAAAUUCAUUGCAAAAGAGGGUAAAUCGGCCACUUUAAGAUUACCAUCUGGGGAGGUCCGUUUAGUAUCCCAAAACUGCUUAGCAACAGUCGGACAAGUGGGUAAUGUUGGGGUGAACCAAAAAAGUUUGGGUAGAGCCGGAUCUAAGUGUUGGCUAGGUAAACGCCCCGUAGUAAGAGGGGUAGUUAUGAACCUUGUGGACCACCCCCAUGGGGGCGGUGAAGGGAAAGCUCCCAUUGGUAGAAAAAAAACCCACAACCCCUUGGGGUUAUCCUACGCUUGGAAGAAGAACUAG
rnacentral:rRNA from 1 species